rnacentral:tRNA from 1 species
CGGGGUGUAGCGCAGUUGGUAGCGUGCUACGUUCGGGACGUAGAAGUCGCAAGUUCGAAUCUUGUCACCCCGACAA